rnacentral:rRNA from 1 species
GAUGAACGCUAGCUACAGGCUUAACACAUGCAAGUCGAGGGGCAGCAUUAGGUAGCAAUACUGAGAUGGCGACCGGCGCACGGGUGCGUAACGCGUAUCCAACUUUCCCGUUACUCUGGGAUAGCCUUCCGAAAGGGAGAUUAAUACCGGAUGGUGUUGAAAAUUCGCAUGUUUUUCAAACUAAAGAUUUAUCGGUAACGGAUAGGGAUGCGUGACAUUAGGUAGAUGGCGGGGUAACGGCCCACCAAGCCUACGAAGUCUAGGGGUGCGGAGAGGAAGGUCCCCCACACUGGAACUGAGACACGGUCCAGACUCCUACGGGAGGCAGCAGUGAGGAAUAUUGGUCAAUGGUCGGAAGACUGAACCAGCCAAGUAGCGUGAAGGAUGAAGGUUCUAUGGAUUGUAAACUUCUUUUAUAUAGGAAUAAAACCUCCCACGUGUGGGAGCUUGUAUGUACUAUAUGAAUAAGCAUCGGCUAACUCCGUGCCAGCCGCCGCAGUAAAAC